CUCAACUAUCUUUUAAACAGCCAGCUGCCUUCUUCUUUUUCCUUAGACCAGCUAGAAGACAUACGAGAAAAGGUCUGCUUCCGUCUGUCCGUGGACGCAAUUCUUUAGAUAGGCAGGAGACGUUGGAGAAAAAGAUUACUUUCAAUUCCUCACAAGAUGCACCUCUGUGUGGGAAACUAUUGAUUCGUCCAGCUUGAGAAGACAAGGACACUAGGUUACGGCUUGGGUCAAAUCUUACUUAGAUACUACUUCUCUCAUCCUUGUGGUGGGCUGGCUGCUUGGGCACGUCCACCUUGAUGGAGCCGGAUGAAGUGCAUAGGAUGGCUCUAUUGCAGCUAGCUAAGAGGCAACUUUUUGAACCAGAUACUAAUCUGCUGUACAAUCCUGUGAUAAGGGAACAACAGACACCCCAAGGAAAUCCUGAAUAUUCUAGGCAAGGGUGGACAUCAGGCCGCUCUUUCAUAGCUCAGUGCUAUUAUCCUGUCGCUCCUCAUCCUAGAGUCGAUACAGCUGUCACCCUGGGGACUCACAUGAUAUCCAAAGGAUUAGGUUAGGAAUUCCACGAGGUUGAAUAUUCAGUAGCUCCCCCUGGGUACGUUGAAUGGGGAACUAACAUUUUGAAGAAUUAUUCCAUGCAUUUGAAAGGUAGUGAAGAGAACACAGACUAUAUCUAUGGAGCCAUUUAUUGCUCUUUGGGUGAGUACUCUGUAUCUCCCCCGCUUCCGAGGGCUUUGUUAUAGCACUGGGAUCCCAACACUAACACGUUCUUAUUCCCCUGUGGUGAAUGCACAAUCACUCUUCUUGAUAUGAACCAAAUGGCUGGGCUACCCUUAGAUGGUGAUAUGUAUGAAGAAUUUAUACCCCCUACUCAUGAACUGGAUCCUUCUCUAUUGUUGUACCCCAACUUUUUGCCACAACUCCUUGACAUAUGGAACAAACUCUCCGAAAGCGGCAAUGUAGGCUUUCGGGAA